AAAUUGAAGAGUUUGAUCAUGGCUCAGAUUGAACGCUGGCGGCAGGCCUAACACAUGCAAGUCGAACGGUAGCACAGAGAGCUUGCUCUCGGGUGACGAGUGGCGGACGGGUGAGUAAUGUCUGGGAAACUGCCUGAUGGAGGGGGAUAACUACUGGAAACGGUGGCUAAUACCGCAUAACGUCGCAAGACCAAAGAGGGGGACCUUCGGGCCUCUUGCCAUCAGAUGUGCCCAGAUGGGAUUAGCUAGUUGGUGAGGUAACGGCUCACCAAGGCGACGAUCCCUAGCUGGUCUGAGAGGAUGACCAGCCACACUGGAACUGAGACACGGUCCAGACUCCUACGGGAGGCAGUAGUGGGGAAUAUUGCACAAUGGGCGCAAGCCUGAUGCAGCCAUGCCGCGUGUAUGAAGAAGGCCUUCGGGUUGUAAAGUACUUUCAGCGGGGAGGAAGGUGUUGUGGUUAAUAACC
rnacentral:rRNA from 1 species